rnacentral:rRNA from 1 species
AACGUAGGACACAAGCGUUACCCGGAGUUACUGGGCGUAAAGGGCGUGCAGGCGGUUUCUUAAGUCAGGCGUGAAACCAUUCGGCUAAACCGGGUGUAGUCGUCUGAGACUGGGAGACUAGAGUGUGGUAGAGGCGUGUAGAAUUCCGGGUGUAGUGGUGAAAUGCGUAGAUAUCCGGAGGAAUACCAGUGGCGAAGGCGGCACGCUGGGCCAUAACUGACGCUAAGACGCGAAAGCAUGGGUAGCGAACGGG